UCUGUGGCAACUGCCAAGCGAGUGUCCCUGGGCUGAAAAGCAACAAAGAGGAAGGAGGUGCUGGUGAGCCUGGAAAGUAUGAUUCUGUAGCACGGAAGGGCGACAUAGGGCCACGGGGUCCUCCAGGAUUCCCAGGCAGAGAGGGCCCAAAGGGAACCAAAGGAGAGCGGGGCUACCCUGGAAUACCUGGGGAGAAAGGUGAUGAGGGUCUUCAAGGAAUUCCAGGCACUCCAGGUGCACCAGGCCCUACUGGACCCCCUGGCUUAUUGGGACGAACUGGACAUCCUGGUCCUGCAGGAG